GUUUUAAUAAUUUAAUAAAAAAUAUUGGUCUUGUAAACCAAAAAUAAGCGUAACCCUUUUAAAACU
rnacentral:tRNA from 2 species